GAGGUUAUAGCUCAGUGGUAGAGUGCAUGCCUGCAUGACUAGCAUGCACGAGGUCCUGGGCUCAAUCCCCAGUACCUCCA
rnacentral:tRNA from 1 species